AGACAAUUACUACGGUACCCCAAAGCCGCCAGCAGAACCAGCACCAUUAUUGUUAAAUGUAACAGACCAGAUACUUCCAGGAGCCACUCCAAGUGCUGAAGGAAAACGGAAGAGGAAUAAAUCAGUGAGCAACAUGGAGAAAGCCAGUAUAGAGCCUCCUGAGGAGGAAGAGGAAGAGAGGCCUGUGGUCAAUGGAAAUGGAGUAGUAGUAACACCAGUACAGUGUCUCUGCCCUGCCUUCGUGUUCUUCACAUUCUUCACAUUCACCAGACACCAGAUUUCUAAGAAGACUGAGAAACAUGUUCCUAGCCAGGUGCGGAGGCUCAUGCCUGUAAUUCCAGCACUUUGGGAGGUCAAGGCAGGCAGAUCACUUUCAUAGGAGUUUGAGACCAGCCUGGGCAACAUGGCAAAACCCCAUCUCUGCAUGGCAAAACCCCAUCUCUGCAAAACACACAAACACAAAAAUUAGCCAGGCAUGGUAGCACACACCUGUAGUCCCAGCUUCUUGGGAGGCUGAGGUGGGAGAAUCACCUGAGCCCAAGGAGGUCAAGGUUGCAAUGAGCCAUGAUGGUGCCACUGCACUUCAGCCUGGGCAACAGAGUGAGACCUCGUCUAAGACAAACAAAAAGAGAGAGAGAGAAACAUGUCACUUAAAUUUUAGUUAACACUGCCCUAUAUCAACUAACUAUAGUAAUAAUUAAUAUCAGACUUCAAUUCAGAGCAUGAAUAUUAUAAUCAAUGAGGCACAUUUGGAGAAUAUAAAAAACAUAUUGAGGUAACAUUAUUCCAUUACGAAGGAAUAUUGAUAAUAGUAAUAAGCAAUAAAAUAAUUCACUUCUUUUGA
rnacentral:sRNA from 1 species